rnacentral:rRNA from 1 species
GACGAACGCUGGCGGCGUGCUUAACACAUGCAAGUCGAACGAAGUGGCGAACGGGUGAGUAAUACGUGAGUAACCUGCCCUCCUUUUUGGGAUAAGCCUUGGAAACGGGGUCUAAUACCGAAUAAAGGGGGAUGGGCUCGCGGCCUAUCAGCUUGUUGGUGGGUUGAUGGCCUAGUAAGGCGGUGCCGGGUAGCCGGCCUGAGAGGGUGACUGGCCUCAUUGGGACGGAUAUUCGUCCCAGACUCCUACGGGAGUCAGCAGUGGUGGGUAUUGCACCAUAGGCGUUGACCUGAUGCAGCGACUCGGCGUGGGGGGGGAAGGCUUUCAGGUUGUAAUCCUCUUACGCUAUCGAACGGGUAGGUGGAGAAGAAGCGCAGGCUUACUACGUGCCAUCAGCCGCGGUGAUUC